rnacentral:rRNA from 1 species
CUGGCGGCAGGCCUAACACAUGCAAGUCGAGCGGUAGCACAGAAGAGCUUGCUCUUUGGGUGACGAGCGGCGGACGGGUGAGUAAUGUCUGGGAAACUGCCUGAUGGAGGGGGAUAACUACUGGAAACGGUAGCUAAUACCGCAUAACGUCGCAAGACCAAAGUGGGGGACCUUCGGGCCUCAUGCCAUCAGAUGUGCCCAGAUGGGAUUAGCUAGUAGGUGAGGUAAUGGCUCACCUAGGCGACGAUCCCUAGCUGGUCUGAGAGGAUGACCAGCCACACUGGAACUGAGACACGGUCCAGACUCCUACGGGAGGCAGCAGUGGGGAAUAUUGCACAAUGGGCGCAAGCCUGAUGCAGCCAUGCCGCGUGUAUGAAGAAGGCCUUCGGGUUG